ensembl:lncRNA
GGAGUGACUCCAGUUGCUAUGCUGGGAGCAGAAAUCGACAUACCUGCCUAAACUGGGAGGAUGGAUAAGAUGUGGUUUCCCAGAGACUAUGGGUUGAGGCGGAGGUGGAAGUUUGUCGGCUUAGACCUGGUGUCAUUCCAUCAGUGUUAACCUUCCCGGCUCAUCUUGGAAGAGUACGUGCCAGAAAGACCACGACCAAGCAGCCUUGAGAUCUUAGGCAGCAUCUCCCUCAGGUCCCUCUCUAUCUCCCCACACAUCCACCAACCACUGGAACACAUCUCCAAAGUUCUGCCGGGCCAGCUCAGCUUCCCCUCAGAAGAAGUGCCGCCACCUGCCAGAUGAAGGAGCCUUUUGAGAGGCAGCUGGCAUCGUGAUUGGACUGUACUUUGGUCUGUUCCAAUCCAGCUUCAGCUCCAGAGACGGCAGGCGGGACGAGUCAACGGAGGCCGGGUGGACGAAGGCAUGCAGCUGAGUACAAUCCAGAAAACAACAGAGGAGGAGUGCAGCAUCCCAGGGCCAGAACAA